UACGAAGGGGGCUAGCGUUGCUCGGAAUCACUGGGCGUAAAGCGCACGUAGGCGGACUCUUAAGUCGGUGGUGAAAUCCUGGAGCUCAACUCCAGAACUGCCUCUGAUACUGCGAGUCUCCGAGUCCGGGAGAGGUGAGUGGAACUGCGAGUGUAGAGGUGAAAUUCGUAGAUAUUCGCAAGAACACCAGGUGGCGAAGGCGGCUCACUGGCCCGGUACUGACGCUGAGGUGCGAAAGGCGUGGGGAGCAAACAGG
rnacentral:rRNA from 1 species